rnacentral:lncRNA from 1 species
UAAAGACGCCAGUCAGGAAGUAUGUUGGAAGCCAAUGGGAAGUGGUUAGUUUCCCAGACUUCCUGAAGGCUCUGUCCUAGCGAGCUUCCCCUGUGGGCUGGCCCAAGAGGAGGAGUGACAGGGCUUCUCCAUAUGGAAGCAGCCCACACGCACUUAAAAUGAAAGUCAGCGAUGUCUCGAUUUAUCAAGAUUCAACCGCGAUUUCAUCAGUAUAGAAAGCUGCUAAUGACUGAUAUAAAUCAGCAUCUUCCCUGUAACCUAAACAUCUCAUCUUACAGAUGAAGAAAGUGGACAGGGCUGGAAAGAUGCAAGCAUCAUUGGGUGUCCUUGAAGGUGCAAACCUGAAGCAUCUGGAGCCAGAUGAAUCGUCCAGAUGUGCGAUGGAUCAUUCAUGCACUUUGUAGCACACCAUAA